rnacentral:pre_miRNA from 1 species
CAUCCGCAGGCUGGCCAGCCCGCAGGCUGCGCUGGGCGGGUAUCUUUUCGAAAGGCUCACCCUCAGGCACCGCUGGGAGC